rnacentral:rRNA from 1 species
AUGCAAGUCGAACGGGAAUCUUCGGAUUCUAGUGGCGGACGGGUGAGUAACGCGUAAGAAUCUAACUUCAGGACGGGGACAACAGUUGGAAACGACUGCUAAUACCCGAUGUGCCGAAAGGUGAAACCUAAUUGGCCUGAAGAAGAGCUUGCGUCUGAUUAGCUAGUUGGUGGGGUAAGAGCCUACCAAGGCGACGAUCAGUAGCUGGUCUGAGAGGAUGAGCAGCCACACUGGGACUGAGACACGGCCCAGACUCCUACGGGAGGCAGCAGUGGGGAAUUUUCCGCAAUGGGCGAAAGCCUGACGGAGCAACGCCGCGUGAGGGAGGAAGGUCUUUGGAUUGUAAACCUCUUUUCUCAAGGAAGAAGUUCUGACGGUACUUGAGGAAUCAGCCUCGGCUAACUCCGUGCCAGCAGCCGCGGUAAUACGGGGGAGGCAAGCGUUAUCCGGAAUUAUUGGGCGUAAAGCGUCCGCAGGUGGUCAGCCAAGUCUGCCGUCAAAUCAGGUUGCUCAACGACCUAAAGGCGGUGGAAACUGGCAGACUAGAGAGCAGUAGGGGUAGCAGGAAUUCCCAGUGUAGCGGUGAAAUGCGUAGAGAUUGGGAAGAACAUCGGUGGCGAAAGCGUGCUACUGGGCUGUAUCUGACACUCAGGGACGAUAGCUAGGGGAGCGAAAGGGAUUAGAUACCCCUGUAGUCUUAGCCGUAAACGAUGGAUACU